AAAAUAUACAUAAUAAUUUGCUACUUAACCAUUUUUUAAUAGUCCCUGUGCUGUACUUUACAUCUCCAUUAAUUAUUUAUUUUUUAACCGGAAGGUUUAUACCUCUUAAUCCCCUUCACGUAUUUACCCACAUUCGCACUCCUCGCCCAUGGAUCAUGAGCCUGUUUUGUCUGUUCUUUUGCUUUGUUUAUUAGAUUCCACAUAUGAGUGAGAUCAUACAGUAUUUGUCUCUGUCUGGCUUACUUCACUUAGCAUAAUACCCUCUAGGGCCAUCCAUGUUGUCACAAAUGGGAGGAUCUACUUUUUUAUAGAGGAGUAAUACCCCAUUGCAUACAUGUACCACCUCUUCUUUAUCCAUUCAUCUAUUGACUGGCACUUAGGUUGCCCAUAUCGUGACUAUUGUAAAUAAUGCUGCAAUGAGCACAGGGUGUGUAUAUCUCUUCAAAGUGGUGUUUUGGUUUUCUUCAGAUUAAAUACCCAGAAUUGGGGUUGCUGGAUCAUAAUGGUAGUUCUGUUUUUUACUUUUUUGAGAAACCUCCAUAUUGCCUUCCACAGCGCCUACACCAAUUUACCUUCCCACCAACAGUGUCCAAGGGUUCUCUCUUCUCCACGCCCUCACCAACACAUGUUAUUUCUUGUCUUUCUGAUACCACGCAAUCUGACUAGUGUGAGUUGAUACCUCUUUGUGGUCCUGAUUAGCAUUGCUCUGAUGAUUAGCCACGUGGAACCUUUUCAUGUGCCUGUUGGCCAUCUGGAUGUCUUUGGGAAAAUGUCUGUUCACAUCCUCUGCCCGUUUUCUCUUGUUUCUUGUGGGAGGCCUGUAUCGCCAUGAACUUCCCUCUUAGAACUGCUCUGCAGCGUCCUACAAGCUUUGUAAAGUCGUGUUUCCAUGUUCAUUUGCCCCAAGGUCCUGUGUUUUCCUCUUUGAUUUCUUCAUUGACCCGUUGGUUGGUUAGCGGCAAAGUUUGGUGUUCAUGUGUUUGCAUUUUUCUUGUAAAUGAUUUCUAGUUUCAUACUGUUGUGGUUGGCAAAGAUGCUUGAUAUGAUUUCAAUCUUCUUGAAUGUAUCGAGACCUGUUUUAUGGGCUAACAUGUGAUCUCUCUUGGAGAAUGUUCCAUGGGCACUUGGUCACACUGCUGUCAACCGUCCCCACUAUCCAGCCCCAGAGCUCAUUUCCUGUAAAACCAAAACUCUGUCCCUAAGAAACAGAAACUCCCCAGCCCCUCCCCCAGCCCCUGUACCCACCAUCCACUUUUUGUCUCUGAGGAUGUGACUCCUCUGGGGACCUCCUGGGAGUGGGAUCAGGCAGGAUCUGUGUCCUUCUGUGUCUGGCCUGUGUCACUGAGCACAGUGUCCCCAAGGUCCAUCCAUGUUACAUCAAGCAUCAGUAUUUCCUUUUUAUGGCUGAAUAAUAUUCCAUUGUGUGGCUAUACCACAUUUUGUUUAUCCACUUAUCCAUCGAUGGACACUGGGUUGCUUCCACUUUUUGGCCAUUGUGAAUCAUGCUGCUGUGAAUAUGGGGUGCAAAUAUCCAACCAAGUCCCUCCUUUGAUUAUGGACCCAGAAAUAAAAUCACUAAUUCAUAUAGUAAUUCUAGGUUUAACUUUUUGAGGAACUGUCCGGCUCUUUCCCACAGGGGCCGCACUGUUUUAUGUUCCCACCAGCCAUGCACGUGGGUAGCCUUAGAGGGUUUUUGAGCAGAGCAGAGAAUCAGAAUAUUUCAAGAGGCAAUAGUCAGAUCUGAGUUUGCAGAAGGGAGUGGAUCGAAGGACCAAGGAGAGAUGAUGAAGCCUAAAUUAGGGCAGCAGACACCGGGGCAGUGAGGAGGGGACAACACCCAAGAAACACAUGAGAGAAAAUUUGGCAGAACAUAGAUGCUGAUACGCAGUGGGGGACCAUGCAGGGGACGUGGAGGAGGACAAGGGUACCUUGGCAUAGAUGACUGCGGAGGGGCAUCUUUAAGGAGCAGGGGCAGGGGGCGGCUGGGUUCCGUUAUUGAGCACAUGGAGUUUGAGGGGUCAGAGGGACCCUCUCGGGGAAGACAUGGGAUGGGAGAUUCAGAGUGAGAUUAGCACUGGGAAGAAGUCUGAACCAGCGGGGGUGGGUUGAGCCCCCUAGCUGCAGUGACUGCAGGUUUGGGGAGCACCGCUCCUCAAGGGGAGCUCAGGUGGAGCUGGAGACGUGCUGGAGCUUCCCAGAGGCCCCAGGUACUUUGCUCUCCCAGACUGGGAGGCCUUAAUGCGGGCAUUUACUGCUCAGGACUCCGGAGGCUCCAAGUCCAAGUCCAAGUGUGGGCAGGGUUGCUUCCUUCUGAGGCGUCUCUCCUGGGUUCAUAGAUGCUGUCUUCUCUCUGGGUCUUCACGUGGUUUUCCCUCUGUGCCUCUGUGUCCUAAUCUCGUCUUAUAAGCACACCAGUCAGAUCGGAUCAGAGCCCAACCUGAGGACCUCAUUUUCCUCAGUCAUUUCUGUAAAGACCCUGUCUCCAAAUGUAGUCAUGCCCUGAGGUUCUGGGGUGUCUUGGCCCGUUUGGACCGCUAUAACAAAGUACCAUGGAGGGGGUGGGUUAUAAACAACAAAAAUGUGCAUCUCAUGGUUCUGCAGGCUGGACGUCUGAGACCAAGCUGUCAACGUGAGUUCUGGGGUGCAAACUGCUGACUUGUAUCCUCACUUUGCAGAGAAAGCGGUAUCUGAAGUCUCUUUUACAAGGACAAUAACCCCAAUUAGCGAAGGCCCCACCCUCCUGACCCAAUUACCUCCCAAACGCCGCCUCUGAUACCAUCACAUUGGGGGUUAGGAUUUCAACAUAGGACUUUGGGGCAGGGUGGGGUGGAUGCACACCUUCAGUCAGUUGAAGAGGGGUUAGAACUUCCACAUAUGCGUGUGGGGUUACACAGUUCAGACCAUCGCCGCAGCGAAAAUAUUUCUGCGUGGUGAGGUGGUGAAGAGCACAGGAGUCAGACCGCCUGGUUCAAAUGCCCAUUUCUUCUAAAUCCUAGAUUUCCUGAGCAAGAGACCUGGCUUUUCUGAGCUUUGCCUCUUGUAUGAGUUUCCUACUGAUGGUGUAACUAAUUGCUACAAACUCGGUGGCUUAAAAUGACACACACUUACUAUCUUACAAUGCUGGGGGCCAAGUCCCGAGUGGGUCACACCAGGCUAACAUCACGGUGUCUUCAGGGCUGUGUUCCUCCUGGGGGAGCUGGGGGAGAGUCUGUUCUGUUGCCUUUUAUAGCUUCUGGAGGCACCUGCACUCCCUGGCUCGUGGCCCCUUCCUCCUCCUUCAAAGCCAGCAGAGGGCAGUUGGAUUUUUCUCCCACCGUAUCACACUGGCCCCUGCUUCCAUCACCCAGCUCCUCCUCUAACCGUCUUGCCUCCUCUUAUAAGGACUUCUGUGAUGACAUCGGGCCGCCCGGGUAAGCCAGGAUCAUCUCCCAUCUCAAGAUUCUAAAUUUAAUCACAUCUGCAAAGUCCCUUUUGCCACAUAAGGUGACAUAUGCACAGGUUCUGGGGAUUCGGACUUGGGCGUAUUUGGAGGGGGUGAACACACUCUCUCCCAAGUGCAUGGGCUGAGCCAAUAGAAACCCCUUAAAAAAUUAUGUUUAUUUCUAGGACAAUUGAUUGAUCAUUAUUGAUGUUCACGCCUGGAAUGCUGGCCCCUUGAGGGUGAGGAGCUUGGUCUCCUGUAUCCUCAUUGUUGAAUCAAUAGCUUCUUCCUCCCGGGGAGCCUGGUCUUGGGGUGUCAGCACCAUGGACAGGGAGGUGCUGUCCGAGGUGCUGCCAAGGGCCCCUCUCUGCCCUCCCUGUCCAGCCCCCAACAUCACUGCCUUCUCCAGAUCUCUAGGAUUUGAGGGACACAGGAAGCUGAAAAUUCACCCCAAGUUUGUCCCCUGUAAACGUCUCCAUCUUCACUGCCUUGCACUCCACCUCACGCAUUCUGUUCUUUCUCUUCCUCAGACUCCCCACAGAUUCCAGCCCUGAAGGCUCCUGCACUUUGUUCUCUGUGUAACUGAACAAGCCCAUUCCCAAAUAUCGACCUCUCUGAACAGUCUGAAACCAGUGUCUAAAGUACUUCCCCACCCACCCCAUUUCCUUGCCUUUAAGUCACGUUCACUACCCACAGUUGUCUUGUUUAUUGCUUAUAAUCUCUCUGUCCGAGACACACUCAAUUACAGAUUCACUGCAAAUACGAGUUCCAUCAGCAGAGAAACUGCACAGACCAGCUCCUGGCUCAUAGCUGCUGCUCAGUGAAUGUGGAAUGAGAUCAAGCUCUGAAGCUAAAGCAAAGAUUGCUGAGAUGUCUCCCACUCUCUAGGACUCUUGGAGCGCCCCCCCAAAUGAAACCACAUAACUUCCCCUGUUCUUCAGGCACACAAGAACACAAGAACAGCAGCAAUAACAGUAACAAUUAAUUUAUGGAAUCUUUGAAUUCUCACAACAGCUCUAUGGAGAACAUAUUGUUGUUAUCCCUGUUUUAGAGAAGAAGAAACGGAGGACCAGAGAAGGACAUAAGUUACCCAGUUGUUAAGAGAUGGAACCACUUACCCACUACCCUGUUCUGUUUCCCCAGGAAGUGGAUUUGUUGAGAUUUCCAUUCUUGGCUGCAGUUCUGGGAGCAACACUUGACCCUUGGAAAAGAAGUCCCCCUCAUGGACCUAGGAAGAUCCUCUCUGCUGACCACCCCAGACCAGUGAUGUGUCCAGCAUCGGCUACAGCAGAGCCACAGCAAAGGGACAGACUGGCCAUCUCCCUGCCUGGACUCAGUGUCUGCUGCCUACGUCCCAGUCCCCUGAACCACAUGUGGACCUGGCUGGACACUGAGGUGUAACAAGAGUAUUGAACGUACAUUAAGACUGCUUGCUGAAUGGUCUCCCUGUCUACACGUCACCCUGCAUCCAGAGCACUCGCACAAUUGUAAUUAAACAAGUGUAUCUUCA